rnacentral:rRNA from 1 species
AUUGAACGCUGGCGGAAUGCUUUACACAUGCAAGUCGAACGGCAGCACGGGGGCAGCCCUGGUGGCGAGUGGCGAACGGGUGAGUAAUACAUCGGAACGUGCCCGGUCGUGGGGGAUAACGUAGCGAAAGUUACGCUAAUACCGCAUACGAUCUGGGGAUGAAAGCGGGGGACCUUCGGGCCUCGCGCGAUCGGAGCGGCCGAUGUCAGAUUAGGUAGUUGGUGGGGUAAAGGCCUACCAAGCCGACGAUCUGUAGCUGGUCUGAGAGGACGACCAGCCACACUGGGACUGAGACACGGUCCAGACUCCUACGGGAGGCAGCAGUGGGGAAUUUUGGACAAUGGGCGCAAGCCUGAUCCAGCCAUUCCGCGUGCAGGACGAAGGCCUUCGGGUUGUAAACUGCUUUUGUACGGAACGAAAAGGCUCUGGCUAAUACCUGGGGCUCAUGACGGUACCGUAAGAAUAAGCACCGGCUAACUACGUG